AUUGAACGCUGGCGGCAGGCCUAACACAUGCAAGUCGAACGAGUGGCGGACGGGUGAGUAAUGUCUGGGAAACUGUCUGAUGGAGGGGGGUAACUACUGGAAACGGUAGCUAAUACCGCAUACCAUCGGAUGUGCCCAGAUGGGAUUAGCUUGUUGGUGGGGUAACGGCUCACCAAGGCGAAGAUCCCUAGCUGGUCUGAGAGGAUGACCCGCCACACGGGAACUGAGACACGGUCCAGACUCCUACGGGAGGCAGCAGUGGGGAAUAGUGCACAAUGGGCGCAAGCCUGAUGCAGCCAUGCCGCGUGUAUGAAGAAGGCCUUGGGGUUGUAAAGUACUUUCAGCGGGGAGGCGUUACCCGCAGAAGAAGCACCGGCUAACUCCGUGUCAGCAGCCGCGGUAAUAC
rnacentral:rRNA from 1 species